UGGCUGCAGUGAGGCACAGGCACAGCACUCGGUCAGAGAGUUGCAAGGAUCGUUUGGCAGCCUCGACGGAAUUUACUGCGUUUCCGAGCUUCAACACUGACAAAAGGAGGGAGAAAAAAAAAAAAAGGGCAUGAGAGCAGUAAUCAAUCAAAUAUGAAAUGUCAUUUCAAUCAAACAACAAUAUCUUGUUACUUUUGCCACUCUGACGGAAAGCGGUCAUGGUCUCAAUGUAUUCACAUUGUGUGCAUGCUAUAUUUGAACCACUUCAUGCCGAGGCUCGUUCUUCCAUAUGAGAGGGUUGACAGCUAGGAGUUAGAGCAGCGCCCUGAUAGGUGGGAUUGGAGAGCUCCCCGCCUUUAUAAGGACAGGUGUGGGCAAUUACUGCCUCUUUGUCUGAUGCCUGGUAGAUGGUGACUGCUGUGUUUGUGCCGAUUUCUGUGGCCACAUGUUUGAGAGAAGAUUCAGGGUUCGCCUCUCCCUUGUUGGAGCCACAGUACAGAGUCAGCCAUCCAUUGUCGCUGUAAAGUAGGGCUCCAUAUUGAGCAAGGCAGCUGGACGACCUAUGGGGAGUAGUCGUGGGAUGUCUAUUGAGGCGAGCCAGGCAGCAGAGCUGCAGCCGCGACACAGAAAAGAUAACCAAGCUGUGCCCCUACGGAGACUGUCCUGCUUCUCCUUGGCCCAGCCCUGGGCAAGGUCUUUAUUGCCUGACCCUGGUCUAAGGUGGUGCAUCCUCCAUCAUUUCCAUGUGGAACAAAUCAAGUCAGUCUCUGAAAUAAUUUAAUUUAUACAAAAACCACCAAGUGGCAAAGUCCAAAAAGUUUCAGAAUUCACUCCAGGUUUUAAAGUACAACGAUCUGCGGGCAGUCUGGGCCAGUGUUGAGGUCACGAUUGUUGCUGCAGGUGCACGUGUCGGCACACGAUGGAAUUGCCUAAACAGUCUAUUGGCUCACGGGGGGAAAAAGAAAAAGCUGCAGAUUGCAACACAGACACAAACAGCCAUUAAUCUGGUCUAAGCCUUAGGGCAGGAGACAUAUGGACAGAAAAAAAGAUUUAAAUGUUUCCAAUGAUGGGUUCUCAUCAAUGCAAUUUGUUGUGCACUUUUACAGAGCGCAAACAUGAGGGAAACCUCCUAGAAUAGCCACAAAUGUGUUAUUUAAAUAAAUUAACUGUAAAUAUAAACAUUGAAUAUGAGCGUGAGUAACUUUGUAUCAGUUUCAACAGAACAUUAUUAUGGUGGCAGUUUCCUUUAAUAAAUUGGGGAAAGAUCUAAUCUGGUUUAAAGAGAAAAAACAAAUGGCUUAAAUUUGGUGCUGGUUAAACAUGUGCAGGGUUUUCUGUAUUGUUUGAUGUGACCCUGAAAUAAUGAUAAUCACAAAUGUUAAUAUAAUUCAUCAUAUCAUAACCUUUUCUCUAUGAUGUUGCUAUACAUGAAAAUCAAUAAAAUUGAAUAAGUUAAAGAUUGUAUUUUAACAUAAAAUGUUCAAUGGCACUUUGUUGUGUUCGAGGUCUGGGAGAAGUUCUCCUUUUUUCUUUUCUUAUACUCUUUUCGAAUAUAUUAAGAGAAACUACA